rnacentral:rRNA from 1 species
CGGCCUAUCAGGUAGUAGUGGGUGUAGCGUACCUACUAGCCUACGACGGGUACGGGUUGUGAGAGCAAGAGCCCGGAGAUGGAUUCUGAGACACGAAUCCAGGCCUACGGGGUGCAGCAGGCGCGAAAACUUUACAAUGCUGGCAACAGCGAUAAGGGAACCUCGAGUGCCAGGUUACAAAUCUGGCUGUCGAGAUGCCUAAAAAGCAUUUCAUAGCAAGGGCCGGGCAAGACCGGUGCCAGCCGCCGCGGUAACACCGGCGGCUCGAGUGGUAACCGUUAUUAUUGGGUCUAAAGGGUCUGUAGCCGGCCGGAUAAGUCUCUUGAGAAAUCUGGCAGCUUAACUGUCAGGCUUUCAGGAGAUACUGUCUGGCUCGAGGCCGGGAGAGGUGAGAGGUACUUCAGGGGUAGGGGUGAAAUCUUGUAAUCCUUGAAGGACCACCAGUGGCGAAGGCGUCUCACCAGAACGGACCUGACGGCAAGGGACGAAAGCUAGGGGCACGAACCGGAUUAGAUACCCGGGUAGUCCUAGCCGUAAACGAUACUCGCUAGGUGUCGGCCACGGUGCGACCGUUGUCGGUGCCGUAGGGAAGCCGUGAAGCGAGCCACCUGGGAAGUACGGCCGCAAGGCUGAAACUUAAAGGAAUUGGCGGGGGAGCACCUCAACGGGUGGAGCUUGCGGUUUAAUUGGAUUCAACGCCGGG